rnacentral:tRNA from 1 species
GGGCCUGUGGCGCAGUUGGUAGCGCACCUGCAUGGCAUGCAGGGGGUCGCCGGAUCGAGCCCGGCCAGGUCCA